CAUCUUUUUUUCGUGUUAGUUGGAAGAACGUGUUGGAGCAGACUGUUUGUCGUUAAGAAAAGGUUAGUUCGUGUUGUAAAUUACAUCCGUUGUGCGACAGAGUGACACAAAUUGUGCGACGUAUUACAACGGAAAUUAUAAAGGAAAGUGUAGAUUGUAAUAUUUCAGAACAAUUAAAUUUUUGAUCACUA
rnacentral:lncRNA from 1 species